GUGCUCGUUUCGGCAGGACAUAUACUAAACUUGGAAUGAUAGAGAUUAGCAUGACCCCUGUGCAAGGAUGACACGCAAAUUCGUGAAGUGUUCUAUAUUUUU